CUCCUCCCCACGCUUACCGCAGGCAGCCGCCCCUCCCGGCUGCCUGUACAGAACGGGGAGGCAGAGCAUCGCCUCGAUACACCCCGGCCUGGGAGAUGGUGCCCUGGCUGGAUUGUGAGCGGGGGGACACGG
rnacentral:snoRNA from 1 species